rnacentral:rRNA from 1 species
GACGAACGCUGGCGGCGUGCUUAACACAUGCAAGUCGAACGGAAAGGCCCGGCGCUUGUUGGUUGCACGAUUGGCGAACGGGUGAGUAACACGUGAGUAACCUGCCCUUGACUUUGGGAUAACUCUAGGAAACUGGGGCGAAUACCGGAUAUGAUCUCCUGCUGCAUGGGGUGGGUUGGAAAGUUUCGGCGGUGGGGGAUGGACUCGCGGGUUAUCAGCUUGUUGGUGAGGUAGUGGCUUACCAAGGCUUUGACGGGUAGCCGGCCUGAGAGGGUGACCGGCCACAUUGGGACUAAGAUACGGACCAGACUCCUACGGGAGGCAGCAGUGGGGAAUCUUGCACAAUGGGGGGAAGCCUGAUGCAGAGACGCCGCGUGCGGGAUGACGGCCUUCGGGUUGUAAACCGCUUUCGCCUGUGACGAAGCGUGAGUGACGGUAAUGGGUAAAGAAGCACCGGCUAACUACGUG